CCACAAUCUCACUAACACACACUGUUAAGUAUACACAUAAUUUCACUGACACUAUUAAGUAUACACACAAUGUCUCACACUCUCACUAACACACACUAUUCAGUAUACACACACACAAUGUCUCACACUCUCACUAACACACACUAUUCAGUAUACACAUACUCUCACUAACACACACUAAUCAGUAUACACACACACAAUCAAUGUCUCACACUCUCACUAACACACACUAUUCAGUAUACACACACACACAAUGUCUCACACUCUCACUAACACACACUAUUCAGUAUACACACACAAUGUCUCACACUCUCACUAACACACACUA